UCAAGAUUCCUCGCAAAGGUUCAC
rnacentral:miRNA from 1 species